rnacentral:rRNA from 1 species
AACGAACGCUGGCGGCAGGCUUAACACAUGCAAGUCGAACGCAUCCUUCGGGGUGAGUGGCAGACGGGUGAGUAACGCGUGGGAACGUGCCCUUCAGUUCGGGAUAACCCAGGGAAACUUGGGCUAUUACCGGAUACGUGCGAGAGCAGAAAGAUUUAUCGCUGAAGGAUCGGCCCGCGUCUGAUUGGCUAGUUGGGGGGGUAAUGGCCCACCAAGGCGACGAUCAGUAGCUGGUCUGGGAGGAUGAUCAGCCACAUUGGGACUGAGACACGGCCCAAACUCCUACGGGAGGCAGCAGUGGGGAAUAUUGGACAAUGGGCGCAAGCCUGAUCCAGCCAUGCCGCGUGAGUGAUGAAGGCCUUAGGGUUGUAAAGCUCUUUCGUCCGGGACGAUAAUGACGGUACCGGAAGAAGAAGCCCCGGCUAACUUCGUGCCAGCCGCCGCUGUAA